rnacentral:rRNA from 1 species
AUGGCCGCGCCCCUGCCAGGCCCGCUGCUCUCUCGCGUCGGCGGUAGUGCAGCAGCGGGGCCGCCGGCAGCGACGCGCCCCUACCCACUGCUCUCUCGCAUCAUCCAGGCGCGCGCGACGCCCGCUCGCCCACCCUGGUGUGCUGCUACCGCCGCCGCUGCUUCCUUUGCUUUGGUGCUAUGCUGCUUUGCUACUACUCUGCUCCAUGCUGCUUUGCUACCACUCUGCUCCAUGCUGCUCUGCUGCUCACUACUACUGUUGCGUAUGAUAGAUGAUGCCUUGGUUCUGCGUUAUAGUUGCUGCUGCUCAUGA